AGAGUUUGAUCAUGGCUCAGGAUGAACGCUAGCGGCAGGCUUAACACAUGCAAGUCGAGGGGCAGCAUUGGUAGCAAUACCAGAUGGCGACCGGCAAACGGGUGCGGAACACGUACGCAAUUUACCUCGUUCUGGGAGAUAGCCCGGAGAAAUCCGGAUUAAUAUCCCAUAGUAUAAUUGAGUGGCAUCACUUAGUUAUUAAAGUUCAGACGGAAUGAGAUGAGCGUGCGUCCCAUUAGCUAGUUGGUGUGGUAACGGCGCACCAAGGCGACGAUGGGUAGCUGAUGUGAGAGCAUGAUCAGCCACACGGGCACUGAGACACGGGCCCGACUCCUACGGGAGGCAGCAGUGAGGAAUAUUGCACAAUGGGCGAAAGCCUGAUGCAGCGACGCCGCGUGAGGGAUGACGGCCUUCGGGUUGUAAACCUCUUUCAGUAGGGAAGAAGCGUAAGUGACGGUACCUGCAGAAGAAGCCCCGGCUAACUUCGUGCCAGCCGCCGCGGUAAUAC
rnacentral:rRNA from 1 species